rfam:Schistosoma mattheei strain Denwood, Zambia genome assembly, scaffold: SMTD_scaffold0003303
AUCCAGCUGACGAGUCCCAAACCGAACGAAACGCGCGUCCUGUAU